UUUCAGCCAUUGGGGCCUUUGCUCCUUCUCUGCAGCUCUGAGGCCUUUCCAGGGACAGGGGACAGGUUUGUGUCACCUCUCUGGGACACACAGGUUUGUGUCACCUCCCUAGGACACAGUCAGGGACAAAUGAGUGUCCCAGGGAGGUGACACAAACCUGUGUCUCCUGUCCCCAAGUGUGUCCCGGGGAGGUGACACAAAUGAGUGUCCCAAGGAGGUGACAUAAAUGUGUGCCUUGUGUCCCCGAGCGUGUCCUGGGGAGGUGACACAAAUGUGUGUCCAGGGAGGUGACACAAGUGUCCUGUGUGUCCCCAGGUGUGUCCAGGGAGGUGACACAAGUGUCCUGUGUCCCAGGGGGGAGGUGACACUCACGGCUGUCCCAAGGGGAGGUGACACUCACGGCUGUCCCAGGGGGAGGUGACACUCACAGGUGUCCCAGGGGGAGGUGACACUCACGGCUGUCCCAGGGGGGAGGUGACACUCACAGGUGUCCCAGGGGGAGGUGACACUCACGGGUGUCCCAAGGGGAGGUGACACUCACGGCUGUCCCAGGGAGGUGACACACUCAGGUGUCCCAAGGGGAGGUGACACUCACGGGUGUCCCAAGGGGAGGUGACACUCACGGGUGUCGCGUGUCCCCAGCACUCGCGGCCUGCAGCGCCCCCUGGUGGAGCGGAGCGCUCACAGCAGCCGCAGGGACCGCCCUCAUUAAUUAAUGCUAAUUAAAUCAUUAAUUAAAAUCAUUAAUGAUCAAUUCCAAUCCAAUAAAAUCACCCUCAACAAAACCAAAAAAGGUUAAAAAAAAUUAAAAAAUAAAAAUUUUCACGUCAUUAAUUCCUUAAAAUCCUGAAUUAUCAAUGAAAUAUUAAUCCAUUAUUAAUGAUUAAUUAAUAGUGUUAAUUAAAUCUAUUAAUCGAUUACUAAUUCAAUUAUUAGGCACUAAUUCCCAGCCAGCCAUUCUACUUCUUAAUUAUAACUAUUAGUAUUAAUUAUAUUAUUAAUUCUUAUUAUUAAUUAUAAUUAAGGGGUAAUUGUUAAUGAUGCGAUUAUUAGCAGCUAAUUAAUUAAAGAUAAUUCCACAAAUAAUGAUUUUAUUCUAAUUAUUUCCUACUUGAAAUGAUAAUUAUUCAUUCCUAAUUAGGCCAUUAUUAAUGAGUUAUUAAUUCCUCGUGGUUCAUCAAUAAUUAAUUACUGAUCAAUAAUUAAUCGUGGCAUAAAGACUAAUUAAUAAAGAAUUAAUUGAUAAUGACAAAUUAAUCACUUCUAAAUCAUUAAUUAGUUCUUUACCUAAAUAAUAAUCAGGUAAUUAAUUAUUAAUUGCUAAUUAACUAGAUAUUAAUAAGCAAUUAAUGACGAUCUAUUAAUAACUAAUAAUUAUGGAACGAAUGAUUUCAGAGUUAAUAAUCACUAAUUAGCUAAUUAAUCAUUAGGUUUAAAAUCCCUUAGCUAAUUAGAGAAUUCCCUAAUUAUUAAUUAAUCAGCUAGCGGAUUAAUUCGCCAAUUAUUAACUCUGCCGGUCCUGAAUUAAUUAAUAAUUAUGAAAUGAAUUUCCAAUCAAGAAGAAAUUAAAUUAUUAUUAAUUAUUAAUAAUUAAUAAUCAAUUAAUGAUUAAUUGCCUCAUAAUUAAUGAGGUAAUUAAAUGCGAAUCGUUAAUUGGCAAUUAACCCGGAAAUAAAAUAUUAACGGCGGAAUAAUUAAUUGAUAAUUAGUAAUUAAUAUUUAUUGGCCCAGUUAAUUAUUAAUCAGCGAUUAAUUAUUAAUGAGCAGCUAAUAAUGAGGCAUUGAAGAAAUGGUGCCUAAUUAAUAUUCAAUGAGCCAAUUAAGGCUUUAAUUCAUGCCAUUAUUGGCUAAUUAAUUACUGGUUAUUAACCAGGCAAUUAUUAAUUAACGGCCAAUAGGGGAUUAAUUAGUAAUUAAUUAUUUAAUGAAUGAUCCAUCAAUCAUUUUUUAAUUGAUUUUGAUUUGAUUUGAUUUCAAUUUUUAAAUUUCUCCACUUUAUUUUCAUCCAUUUUCAUUUCACUUCACCCAAUAAAAUUUCAUUUUUUAAUUCAUUUUAUUCCAUUUUUAUUUCAAUUUUUAUUUCAUUUUUUAAUUCAUUUUUAUUCCAUUUUUAUUUCAUUUUUAAUUCCUUUUGAAUUCAUUUUUAUUUCAUUUUUUAUUUCAUUUUUAUUUCAUUUUUAUUUCAUUUUCUUUGCUUUUAUUUCAUUUGAUUUUUAAUUUUUUUAAUAUUUUCUAUUAAUUUCCCUCACUUUCCUUUUUUAAACUUCUUUGGUUUUUAUUUUUUAUUUUAUUUUAUUUCUCUUUAGUUUUUAUUUGACUUUCUUUUUAUUCCCUUUUAUCACUAAUUUAUUUCUUUUAAUUUACUUUAUUUUUCUUUCAUUCAAUUCUUGAUCCCUUUCUUUCACUUUAGCUUUUAUUUUAUUAUUAAAUUAUUUCUUAAUUUAUUUUAUUUGGAAUUUUUUACUUUAAUUUUUUAAAAUCAUUUUUAUUUUUAAUAUUUUAUUUCCUCCCUUUUUUUCAUUUUCAUUACUUUCAAUGUUUAUUUCACUUCAAUUUGAUUUUACUUUACAUUUAAUUUAAUUUAUUUUAUUUUAU